GACAGAGGUGCCAAGCGUUAGGCGGAAUCACUGGGCUUAAAGCGUGUGUAGGCGGACCGUUAAGUGCCUUGUGAAAUCCCAUGGCUCAACCAUGGAACUGCUGGGCAUACUGGCGGUCUUGAGUCACCCAGGGGCUGUCGGAACAAAUGGUGGAGCGGUGAAAUGCGUAGAUAUCAUUUGGAACGCCAAUGGCGAAAGCAGACAGCUGGGGGUGAUCUGAUGCGUGAGACACGAAAGCCAGGGGAGCGAACGGG
rnacentral:rRNA from 1 species